CAUUUAACCAAUUGUUCAACACUUGUCUGGCAAAAUAUCAAACCUUUUUCUCAAAACAUGAACAGUUAUAGGUCAAUUAUAGACAAACAAAACAUUUGUUUACGCUUUGUUUAGAUAGCAAAUUAAUAUGAUUCAAAUAAGUAGUCUUCUGAAUGCUGAAGAAAGAAUAAUAUUUAACUUGCUGAAAAUAUUGAUCAUUAACGGAUGUAUAAGUCUUGAAACAAGACCAUUGUGCUACGACUUGAUAUAUAUAAACAUCCGAUUUUAAGAAACUUUUUAACUUUUUUUAGACUUCAUUAAGGGACAAACCCCACCCUCAUUUGAUGACUAUACAUAUGCAAAGUACAAAUUCCUAUAACAUAAAAUCAAACAAAUGAAAAAAAAAGAAGGAAACAAGAGUGCACACGCUGAAAUGUCUCGCCUUCUAUACUAAUCAUUGAUAUUAUGUUGAUAGUUCUAAGUAUAAAGCUAAGCUUUAAUACAACUGUCACAUAAACUUAACAUUAACCAAGAUAACUAAACAAAGGCCAAAGAACCUUGAAAAUGAGGUCCGGUCAGAUGAACUAUGCCAGGCAGACAUGUACAGCUAACAAUGCUUCUAUACAACAUAUAUAGUUUACCUAUUGCUUAUAGUUUAAGAUAGACCAAAACACAAAAACUUAACACUGUGCAAUGAACCGUGAAAAUGAGGUCACGGUCAAAUAAAACGUGCGCGACUGACAAAGAUCAUAACAUAUUUCCAUACACCAAAUAUAGAUGACCUAUGGCAUAUAGUAUUAGAUAAAAAGACCAAAACUCAAAAACUUAACUUUGACCACUGAACCAUGAAAAUGAGGUCAAGGUCACAUGACAUCUGCCCGCUAGACAGGUACACCUUACAAUCAUUCCAUACAUCAAAUAUAGUAGACCAAUUGCAUUUAGUAUGAGAAAAACAGACCAAAACACAAAAAAUAACUAUAACCACUGAACCAUGAAAAUGAGGUCAAGGUCAGAUGACACCUGCCAGUUGGACAUGUACACCUUACAGUCCUUCCAUACACCGAAUAUACAAGCCCUAUUGCUUAUAGUAUCUGAGAUAGGGACUUGACCACCAAAACUUAACCUUGUUCACUGAUCCAUGAAAUGAGGUCAAGGUCAAGUGAAAACUGUCUGACAGACAUGAGGACCUUGCAAGGUACGCACAUAUUAAAUAUAGUUAUCCUAUUACUUAUAAUAAGAG
rnacentral:lncRNA from 1 species